UUUUCUGUAUUGUGAAUUGUGUUUCGGCUUUCAAAAUUGCCCCACUUCUUUCUUCCAAUUACAAUUUGCUCUCUCUAGGUAUCUUAUAGCUGGGUCGGUGGUGUGCUGUGCUGGACAGACGUUCAACACGUGUUUGUUUCUGGAAAUUUCCACAGCCUCCCCGAUGAAAUCCCUUUCUAUUCUCUUUCCCCAUCCCACUAUUCUUUCUAAUCGCGUAUGUAUUUUGUGUUCAUUGAAGAGGCUUUCGCAGGGGUGGCUUGGGUGGAGGCGACAUCAAGGUUUUUUGAAUGAGAUACCAACCCUGUCAUGUUCCGCCAUGUUGAUGGCAUCGACUUCUGGAAACUCGCUUCAUGUUCCUGCUGCUUCCCCUAAUUGCACCCUAUAGAUCCUCCAAUUUCUUUCGACGACAACAACUCAGUCCGUCCAACUCAUUCGGCAUAUGAGUUCGAGUCAGGUGGGGAAGCAACGCAUCAGGUUACAUCGGUUGUGCCCCCAAAGAUUUCAUGAAGACUAUCAUUGAUGAAAUGAAUCUUUAGCAUCUGAAACUAUCCUUCCAUACGAUACUUUGAACUACAGAACCAAGGAUUAUUAGACGGAGCUAAAACCAUCAUGGUCCGCUUUUUAGGUCAGAUCAUGUAUGCUAACAUCAUUUACGUUUUUUUACUCUUUUAUUUCCCUCUUUUGGUGCCUAAUGUUGAAGAUGAUGAUCAUUUCUUAUCGUGUUCUUCGGAUGAGCGUCAUGAAUGAAGCCUUGGUUGUGCCCUUCAAAAAAUCAGGCCUAAUCAAUUUUUCCUUGUCAAAUCGACAAAUACAUAUCGAUUGAGAGGCGGAUAUUGACAGUAGAAGACGGGAAAGAGGAUGAAAGCACCGGUUCCACCUUGAGCACAACAAUUUUUUUUUUUUUUUUUUAAUUUCGAACCCAAGCAAGAUUCCUACUGCUUACUGAGCUUUUUUUUACAUUUUUUAUUGGUAGGGACCGGUACGUCAAUCAGAUUUUGAAAAAGGUCAGAUCCAUAGAAGUGUCUGCUGGUGUUUUAGGUUAAUAUAGGCAAGGGUAAGGGGAAAAACAGUGAAGAAUGACUUUGCUAGGAGUUAGGACCUUUCAUCCAAUACAUGUAAGGUAUUUCAAGUGGGUGUCCAUCUCUCUAGCCCGCAGGAGUCCCGGGAAGAUAGAGGCAAGACAAACCGCAUAAGUAAAUAUAUAACCUACAGAAGAACGAGCCGAGCCGUGCAAGGACGCGGUUUAGUAUUUGUUUUUUGAUUAGAUUUAAACUCUGUUUUCUCUUUUGUAGGAAGUUGGAUGUAUGCAUUCAUUUGAUUUUUUCUGUUGCAGAAACACAGAGGUGAAUUUCAAAGUAUUGAAGGUUUGUUGAGAUUGAAGAGAAGGUAGCUCAAAUGGAAGAAGUAUUGCUUUUUAAUUUCCAUUUCUUAUUAUGGUGGACAAUAGUGUAAAAAUAUUGCGCCCGGGUGGCGCACACACCUCACAGCUGCUGGCAAAAAUAAAAGCAGAUGAUGGGAAAUUACACAGAAUAGCAACAUACUUUAACUUGGAUACCAAUUUAUGCAAUGUACUUCUUUAUUCGUCUCAGAAAACAAACACAUUCUGCCCCGCGCAACGCGCGGGUAACCCCUCUAGUUGGAACUUUAAUUCUUUCUUGUUUUAUAAUUAAUGACUAAAUAAAAGCAAAAUUAUUAACUUUUAAUAAUAA